UACGUAGGGUGCAAGCGUUAAUCGGAAUUACUGGGCGUAAAGAGCUCGUAGGCGGUUUGUCGCGUCUGCCGUGAAGGUCCGGGGCUUAACCCCGGAUCUGCGGUGGGUACGGGCAGACUAGAGUGCAGUAGGGGAGACUGGAAUUCCUGGUGUAGCGGUGAAAUGCGUAGAUAUCAAGAGGAACACCUGAGGUGAAGACGGGUUGCUGGGCUGACACUGACGCUGAGGCGCGAAAGCUAGGGUAGCAAACGGG
rnacentral:rRNA from 1 species